GACUCUUAUAGAGCCUCACUAGCUCCUGAAACUGUAGAAAUGCUUAUGUGUGCCGGAGAUUGGUGCCGAAACAUUCAUGGAGUGAAAAAAAAGAUAAAAAAAUUGAAGGCAGCAAAAGAGAUUCUACUUCCCAUAAAAUGAAUGUGAUAAUUGGAAAGGGCCUGCAGUUGAAAUUGGAAAGUUGGAAAGGAUUAUUGUGGAAUGGACAAGAAGUUGCUGUUUU